AUCCACGAUGGCCGAGAACAGGCAUCGAGCUUUUAACUCGACCACAGUCUACCAACUUCUGGAUA
rnacentral:tRNA from 1 species